UACGUAGGGUGCAAGCGUUGUCCGGAAUUAUUGGGCGUAAAGAGCUCGUAGGUGGCCUGUCGCGUCGGCUGUGAAAACUCGGGGCUCAACUCCGAGCUUGCAGUCGAUACGGGCAGGCUAGAGUUCGGCAGGGGAGACUGGAAUUCCUGGUGUAGCGGUGAAAUGCGCAGAUAUCAGGAGGAACACCGGUGGCGAAGGCGGGUCUGCUGGGGCCG
rnacentral:rRNA from 1 species